rnacentral:rRNA from 1 species
AGUGAACGCUGGCGGUAGGCCUAACACAUGCAAGUCGAACGGCAGCACAGUAAGAGCUUGCUCUUACGGGUGGCGAGUGGCGGACGGGUGAGGAAUACAUCGGAAUCUACUUUUUCGUGGGGGAUAACGUAGGGAAACUUACGCUAAUACCGCAUACGACCUACGGGUGAAAGCAGUGGAUCUUCGGACCUUGCGCGAUUGAAUGAGCCGAUGUCGGAUUAGCUAGUUGGCGGGGUAAAGGCCCACCAAGGCGACGAUCCGUAGCUGGUCUGAGAGGAUGAUCAGCCACACUGGAACUGAGACACGGUCCAGACCCCUACGGGAGGCAGCAGUGGGGAAUAUUGGACAAAGGGCGCAAGCCUGAUCCAGCCAUACCGCGUGGGUGAAGAAGGCCUUCGGGUUGUAAAGCCCUUUUGUUGGGAAAGAAAAGCAGCAGGUUAAUACCACGCUGUUCUGACGGUACCCAAAGAAUAAGCACCGGCUAACUUCGUG